rnacentral:rRNA from 1 species
UACGAGUGGUGCUAACGUUAUCCGGAAUUACUGGGCGUAAAGAGUACGUAGGCGGCUUGAGCAGUCUCCGAUUAAAGACUAAGGCCUAACCUUAGGAAUAUUGGAGAAACCAUCAAGCUUGAGGAUCGCAGGGGCCAAUGGAACGAUCGGUGUAGGAGUGAAAUCCGUUGAUAUCGAUCGGAACACCAAAAGCGAAGGCAAUUGGCUAGGCGAUAUCUGACGCUGAGGUACGAAAGCGUGGGUAGCGAAUGGG